rnacentral:misc_RNA from 1 species
CAGCAACAGACUGCUAGGAAGCAGAGGAGGUGUUGGUCCCCCGAGUUGCACCGGCGGUUUGUCAAUGCUCUACAACAACUUGGAGGCUCUCAAGCUGCAACUCCAAAGCAGAUUAGAGAACUAAUGCAAGUUGAUGGCUUGACCAAUGACGAAGUGAAGAGUCAUUUGCAAAAAUACCGACUUCAUACACGAAGAGUGCCAACAGCUACAACUACUUCUGCAAAACAAUCUGUUGUUGUUUUGGGCGGUUUGUGGAUGUCCAAAGAUCAGUAUGGUGAUUCGUUGAAAACUACCAGUUCCCAAUCUGGCUCUCCUCAAGGUCCCCUGCAGUUUGCAGGAAACACUGGAGGGACCUCAACUACAGGAGGUGAUAGCAUGGAAGAUGAUGAGGAUGCUAAAUCUGAGGGCUAUAGCUGGAAGAGUCAUGUUUACAGGUCAGGGAAAGACGAUGUAUAAAGUGUAUCCACCAUGAAUUUUGCAGAUAAAAAUUACACAUUUGGGGGAGGGGGGAAGGGUGGUUGGUGUUAUAUUAUAUGACUAAAAAGAAAAAAGAAAUAAUAUUUAAAAUUACAUAAUGGAGUGGGA